AACUACCAGACAGACAUUAUGAAUGUCAGUCUGGUAGGUCUUUCUGUUGUUGAAUAAAUUAUCCAUUUAUUUUAUUUUCUGUGUCUUUAAUUAUAAUUUCUUGUUCAUUUCAGUGAAACCCACCACUAAGAGUCCUUCUUCCACCACCUCUCCUCCUGAUUCCUCCUCUCCUCAUCUCUCUGUGUUCUGGUCUGCUGUUCUAUCUUUCUGUGUUCUGGUUCUUCUGGUUCUUCUGGUUCUACUGGUGAGACGAUGCCCCCACAGGAAACCUAAAGCUGCUGAAGUUGGAGAUGAUGACAUCACAGAUCUACAGCAGCCAAUCAGAUACAGCAACGUGUGUUAUUCAGUUGCAGUCUACUCAGCAGUGAGAGGAGCAGGAGACAUCAGUUAUGGACAAAUAGCCAUCAGACCACACAGGACGAGAGGAAAUUGCAGCCAAAAAAAAGGACGCAUGAGAAUUUGACAAGGAAACAGAGAUGUUGGCGGAAACAGGCAAUGAGAAAAGUAACUAUUGAAGAUUAUUGCAGCUAAGGGAGGGGUUAUUUCUUUUGUUUAUCUGCAAGAGUCGAGGAAAAUACCAGGCUUAUUGGGGCAGGGAGGCCUAGAGGUUUAUGUGAUCUCGAUUACUGAAUAAGUGAUUGUUCUGUGUUUGGUACUCAUCUGAGAACAUAUUAGGUCGUCUGGUCAGUCUGAUAAUUUGCAUUUAUUAUAUUCUAACUAAAACUGAUUAAAUCUCAUUUCCAACAUUUAAUACUUCUAAGAAUUGGGUUACUUUUAACAAUCAAGUAUUCUCUGAUAUUCAUUUUAAGUAUCACUCCUGGCAUGUGAUAGUUAUUAAUAAUUCAUCUUAUUCAAACAUUU